rnacentral:rRNA from 1 species
AUGGGGUGCAGCAGGCGAGAAAACUUUGCAAUGUGCGAAAGCACGACAAGGUUAAUCCGAGUGAUUUCUGCUAAAGGAAUCUUUUGUCAGUCCUAGAAACACUGUUGAAUAAGGGGUGGGCAAGUUCUGGUGUCAGCCGCCGCGGUAAAACCAGCACCUCAAGUGGUCAGGAUGAUUAUUGGGCCUAAAGCAUCCGUAGCCUGUUUUGUCAGUUUUCGGUUAAAUCCAUACGCUCAACGUAUGGGCUGCCGGAAAUACUGCAAAACUAGGGAGUGGGAGAGGUAGACGGUACUCGGGAGGAAGGGGUAAAAUCCUUUGAUCUCUCGAUGACCACCUGUGGCGAAGGCGGUCUACCAGAACACGUCCGACGGUGAGGGAUGAAAGCUGGGGGAGCAAACCGGAUUAGAUACCCGGGUAGUCCCAGCUGUAAACUAUGCAAACUCAGUGAUGCAUUGGCUUGUGGCCAGUGCAGUGCCGCAGAGAAGUCGUUAAGUUUGCCGCCUGGGAAGUACGUACGCAAGUAUGAAACUUAAAGGAAUUGGCGGGGGAGCAC